rnacentral:rRNA from 1 species
AUGGUGGUUCACACUUUUUUCAUGGUGCUAUCCAAAAAAAUUCUUGCCAAGUAUGAUGUUAACCAUAGAAUUGCAUCACCCUAUCAUCCUCAGUCUAGUGGUCAAGUUGAACUUAGCAAUAGAGAAAUAAAAUUAACUUUGCAAAAGACUUUCAAUAGGUCCAGGAAGAAUUGGUCUAAGAAAUUAGAUGAUGCACUUUGGGCUUAUAGAACAACAUAUAAAAAUCCUAUGGGUAUGUCUCCUUAUAAAAUGGUUUAUGGAAAAUCUUGUUAUUUUCCUCUUGAGUUAGAACAUAAAGCAUUCUGGGCAGUUAAAGAA